rnacentral:rRNA from 1 species
AAGUCUAUUGUUAUUAUUCAUAUUAAUUUUUUUAAAAGUUUUCAAUUUUUAUAUUAGUUUAUUUAAUUACAAAGGUGUAUCAAAUUUUAGGAAUAGAUAAUAAUAAUUUAUAAUUUUGAUUAGAUACAUUUGUUAAUGCUAUGAAAUGGGUGUGGAAAAUAUUUUUAAAAUUUAAAAUAAUAUUUUUAUAAUAAAGUAAUUGUAUCUAUUAGUCAGAAAUGGAUGCCAGCCGUUGCGGUAAUUUCUAUGCUUUUAAAUAUUAUACAUUUAUAUUAAAGAAUUGCUAACAACAAAACUUAGUCAAUAAAAAAUUUAAAAUUAUAUUUUUUGUUUUUAAACACCAUUUGGUAUAUGCAAAUAGAAAAUUAUAGUAAUUAUAUAUUAUAUUAUAUUAUAUUUAUUCAAAUACGUAAAUUAAAUAAAUUUAUAUAUUUUGACACCAUGAUAAGGCUCUUGUAUUGAAAUUGUAUAUUUUAUAUUCAAAAUUUAUUAUUUAUAUAAAAUUAUUAAGUCUAGAUAAAACAAUAAAUUAAAAAGGUAUUGUUGCCCACCAAUUUUUAUAAUAAAAAUAACGUGCAGUAAUUAAUAUAUUUAUAAAAAUGUAU